UUAACUGAAACCAAAUUAGAGGUAUAUUAUUGUUAAUAAUAAAAUUGAAUUAAAUUUUCCUGUUAAG
rnacentral:tRNA from 1 species